rnacentral:tRNA from 3 species
GGCCUCGUAGCUCAGUGGAUAGAGCAACGGUUUCCUAAACCGUGUGUCGGAAGUUCGAUUCUUCUCGGGGCCACCA